AAAGGAUUUGAUUUUAAAUGAGGUGUUUAAUAAGUGUGCAUCACUCCCCAUGCUUUACCCAGAGGAGGGCAGAGUUAGGCUCUGUUUGCUUCUUGAAAAUUAGACAGCGGGCAAGGUAUCUGUGGUGACAGGAGGCUGGCAGCUGUCUCAUUGCUGCUGAAGGGCCGAGGGAGAAGAAGGUGUUGGUUAACACCCAGCAGAGGAAAACCGAUCUGUAUCUGCACACUUAGCACUGCUGUCCACUUCCAGCGAUUGAUGAAACUUAUCUUGAAUUUGCUUCAGUCCACUUUAAAGCUUGUGGUGGUGACUGCUGAAAUACUUUGUAAUCCCUACCUGCUUAUUCUUAGAUUAUGAUGGAAAAUGUGCUGACCAGCCUUUGCUUUCGUUUUGUCAACUACAACCAAAAGGAGAUACUGGAAUACUUGUUCAAGCUGUUCUAAGGCCUCCUUGAACUGUAGAUGAGAAGUGUGUGACUAGUCUCAUUCACACCAGCUGAGGACUGAGAGCUCCCCAGGAAUUUUUCUUAAAAUAAACCAAAAGCCAACAACACUGUCUUCAAUGGAGAGAUGCGUUGUAGAGAAAACGGAUAUUCAGUGAUAGAAAAUGAAUCAGAAGAACGAACUUCAGAAAGGGUGGGAAGGACGGGAGAGAAAAAUGAAGUGAACUUUAAGGUCAGUGUCAUAAAGAUAUCAGCCUAACCUGAUUAUUGCCUGUCCCUCUGGAGAGGGGAAAAUCUUACACAACUGCAUUAAAGUUGAGAAAAAUGAGAAGCUGAAAAUAAGAGGAAAUUGUAUUACUUUCUGAGGUAGAUUAUGUUGUACAGUUAACAAAUGAUCACCACUUACAUUUUCUUUAUAUAUAUAUAUAUAUAUAUUUAAAAGCAUAAAUUGUUGAAGUCAUGUAACUGAACAAGACAAGGCAAAUACAAAAACAAAGCAAGUGAGGUGGAUUAUUAUUUAAUGUUCAGCUGGUUUCUCUUUCAUAGGGGACUAAACAGAUGCCCUCCGCAAACAGCAAUGUGUUACUUACGGAUUUAGAAAGGUUUGUUCUGUAUCCUAAUAAUUACUCCAUGAUGGCAUUACAAAACUGAAUGGUGUUCCAGCAGCCAUUUUUACUGACUCUACAGCUUUGCCUUCCUGAGCAC
rnacentral:lncRNA from 1 species